rnacentral:lncRNA from 1 species
CAUUUUGAUGUUUCAUUUAUUGCUAUUUAUUGCAUUCAGCAUGUCUCAAUCAACCAGAGAUUUUCCAGGAAAAAGCCAACAACAAUAGGAGAAUGGUAUGUCUUGACAGUUGGGCUGUUCAGUUUUGCUGCUUGUUACCUGCAUGGACGUCUGCCCAGUGAGCAAAGCGUGAACCUUCUGAUGUGGCUUUUGCAGCUUCUAGGCUUGGUCUUUGGUAUUUAUUUUGGCGUUGCUAUCCCCCAGGAGGCCUAUGUGGUAAUAGCUACUAUGCUCUGUUCAAAAAUCCUGCAGUAUCUUCUUCAAAUAGUCUGCUACCGUAUUUUUUGCUCCAUAAGAGACAGCUCUGCAUAAGAGGCACCUAAUGUUUAGGGGAGCAAAACAGGAAAAAA